AAGUCGUAACAAGGUUUCCGUAGGUGAACCUGCGGAAGGAUCAUUAUUGAAAUAAACCUGACGGGUUGUUGCUGGUUCUCUAGGGAGCAUGUGCACGCCUUGUCAUCUUUACAUCUCCACCUGUGCACCUUUUGUAGACCUUCCAGGUCUAUGUUGCCUCAUUUACCCCAAUGUAUGUUAAUAGAAUGUUGUGCCUAUAAAAUAUAUACAACUUUCAGCAACGGAUCUCUUGGCUCUCGCAUCGAUGAAGAACGCAGCGAAAUGCGAUAAGUAAUGUGAAUUGCAGAAUUCAGUGAAUCAUCGAAUCUUUGAACGCACCUUGCGCUCCUUGGUAUUCCGAGGAGCAUGCCUGUUUGAGUGUCAUUAAUAUACAUAUCAACCUUCUUCUGUUGGAGUGGUUUGGAUGUGGGAGGUUUGCUGGCCUUUUUUUAAAAGUUCAGCUCCCCUGAAAUGCAUUAGCAGAACAACCUCUGUUCAUUGGUGUGAUAACUAUCUACGCUAUUGAAUGUGGCAGUUCAGCUUUCUAACAGUCUUUGGACAAUUUUAUCAAUUAAUGUGACCUCAAAUCAGGUAGGACUACCCGCUGAACUUAA
rnacentral:rRNA from 1 species